rnacentral:rRNA from 1 species
UACGGGGGGGGCAAGCGUUGUUCGGAAUUACUGGGCGUAAAGGGCUCGUAGGCGGCCAACUAAGUCAGACGUGAAAUCCCUCGGCUUAACCGGGGAACUGCGUCCGAUACUGGAAGGCUUGAAUCCGGGAGAGGGAUGUGGAAUUCCAGGUGUAGCGGUGAAAUGCGUAGAUAUCGUAAGGAAGACCAGUGGCGAAGGCGGGUCUCUGGACAGUUCCUGACGCUGAGGCACGAAGGCCAGGGGAGCAAACGGG